GUUUGAUCCUGGCUCAGGACGAACGCUGGCGGCGUGCUUAACACAUGCAAGUCGAACGGUGAGGAUAAGCUUGCUUUUCCGAUCAGUGGCGAACGGGUGAGUAACACGUGAGCAACCUACCCUUGACUCUGGGAUAACAGUUGGAAACAGCUGCUAAUACCGGAUACGACCUCGACCGACAUCGGUUGAGGUGGAAAGUUCCGGCGGUCAAGGAUGGGCUCGCGGCCUAUCAGCUAGUUGGUGAGGUAACGGCUCACCAAGGCUUCGACGGGUAGCCGGCCUGAGAGGGCGACCGGCCACACUGGGACUGAGAUACGGCCCAGACUCCUACGGGAGGCAGCAGUGGGGAAUAUUGCACAAUGGGCGAAAGCCUGAUGCAGCAACGCCGCGUGCGGGAUGACGGCCUCGGUGUAACGACGUUCUAGCUCCGACGAA
rnacentral:rRNA from 1 species